rnacentral:rRNA from 1 species
AGCGGGCCUUAAGUGGCUGCCUGGGUUGCGCAUUGCCGUCAGCUCGUCGUGCACUUCCUAUGUCCCGUGAUGAUGCCCUGACCAGUGAGAUGGCUAGGACAGCUGUAACGUGAGUGUGAGCCAGGUAGCGAGGUUACUUCUUUAUUGAGGUUUCUCUCGUGUUACAGGCUCGCCUUCGGGACUUGUUCUAGCGUACUGACUGGAUAUAAUUCUCCCUUCGGGGAGUGCGAGAAGCUUGCUAGCGUUGCCUUAGCCAGGUCAGUGCGGAGUCUGUUGGUCUUGACCGUUCUGCGGUCAAGUCAGUGGGCUCUGUCGGCCUGCGUUGAGGUAGCUACGGCGAGUGGUUGCAAUCGAGGGCAAGUAGGUCGGUCCUCCACCCGACCCGUCUUGAAACACGGACCAAGGAGUCUAACAUGUGCGCGAGUCACUCAGUCUUGAAUAGGCUUGAGGGGCGAAAUGAAAGUAAAUGGUACGAUCUUGGUCCUGAGCCGUAAAAAGCUCAGCCAGGCGCAGUACCGACCCGCCUAUGCUCCUCUGAGGGCUUGGCGGCGUCUGAGCGCAUACGUUGGUACCCGAAAGAUGGUGAACUAUGCCU